rnacentral:lncRNA from 1 species
CUCUUGAAAAUUUAAAUGACUACUCCUUGAGAGCAAACUACAAAAUGCUAACCUUGAAGUGUUGAGUGGCAGGAAGAAUUAUGGGUUAUUGUACUGUCAAAAUGCCAGACAGCUGUAUGUUGAGUUGCUGCGUUAUUUAGACAAUCAGAAACUUGGAAGCUAAUGUGACAUAUUUUUUCGGUGUGAAAGCUCUUGACAUGCGUCAGGAUAAUUUCUAAAAGGACAAAAUGUUAUAUAAAAAACACGGUGACUUCAGGCAGCAGCCCCUGGCAUUUCCUAAACACACACUUAACCAAACUGGACCAUUUCCUCUUUAUUAUCUACACAAAUAUUCUUAAUUAUUUCUCCUCCAACCCAAAGUACUUAUUUUUUAUUUAUGGGUGUAAAUAUAAUGCCAGAAGGGCUCAUAUUUCACAGGGAGCCAUUCCAAUGGCAUCCAGAGCCUUCCAAAUUUAAGGAGCAAGAGAACUGAUUCUCUGCCCGUUUCAUUAUAAAGGGGUUUACCAUAAAUAUUAGAAUUUGAAUUCCACCCAAGUAAUGCAUUAAUAGCUACUAAACCAUUAAUAAUUUCUGUACUUUUUCAUAAAUGAGCAAAGUCCAAUAAAUAAACUAUAUCUCUUUCACAGCAGAGCAGGGUUAACAAGUACCAAGGAGAUUUCAAAGACAAACUACUGGUAGGGGCUGCCAAGGGUAAGAUUCAUAAUGAAACUACAAAUUCUGGAGGCCCAUUUUUUUCUGUCCACCAUGGCAAGUAUCUAAAAUUAAAUGCUAAGCAGAAAUCCAUCCUGGAAUCUGACACACAGCAGUUUAGGUAAACAAUCUCUGAAAUUAAAAACAGAUUCUGGAUAAUAAAUAAGUCCGUGUGUGAGACUCUCUGAUAACAGAUAACUCUCCCCGAUAAAUCAAAGGCUCUAGCCCUACAGAGCCUUUCUAAAUUAGGCCAGAUGAUUCACCUAAAAUAUUUCAUCUUGUGUCACCUGUCUUAUGCUUCUAAAGGUGUCAAAACUGAUGAAAGGUACCAAGAAGAAAAAAGGAAACAUGGCAAAAUUAUCAUAAUAAGCGUGAGCUUGUGAACAUAAAUUGAUGUAAGCCAGA